UGGAUUCGCUAGUAAUCGCGCAUCAGCCAUGGCGCGGUGAAUACGUUCCCGGGCCUUGUACACACCGCCCGUCAAGCCAUGAAAGCCGGGGGCGCCUGAAGUCCGUGACCGCGAGGGUCGGCCUAGGGUGAAACCGGUGAUUGGGGCUAAGUCGUAACAAGGUACC
rnacentral:rRNA from 1 species